AUUGAACGCUGGCGGCAGGCCUAACACAUGCAAGUCGAGCGAGCGGCGGACGGGUGAGUAAUGUAUGGGGACUGCCCGAUAGAGGGGGAUAACUACUGGAAACGGUAGCUAAUACCGCAUACUAUCGGAUAACCCAUAUGGGAUUAGCUAGUAGGUGAGGUAAUGGCUCACCUAGGCGACGAUCCCUAGCUGGUCUGAGAGGAUGAUCAGCAACACGGGGACUGGGAAACGUCCCAGACUCCUAGGGAGGAAGAGGGGGGGAAUAUUGAACAUGGGGGGAAGGCCGGAGGAAGCAAGGCGGGGUGUAUGAGGAGGGCCCUAGGGUUGUAAAGUAUUUUCAGUCGGGAGGCGUGACCGACAGAAGAAGAACCGGCUAACUCCGGGCCAGCAGCGGGGGUAAUU
rnacentral:rRNA from 1 species